AUUGAACGCUGGCGGCAGGCUUAACACAUGCAAGUCGAGCGAGGCCCUCCUUCGGGAGGUGUCCUAGCGGCGAACGGGUGAGUAACACGUGGGCAACCUGCCCUCAGCUCUGGGAUAACUCCAAGAAAUUGGGGCUAAUACCGGAUAUGACCGCUGACCGCAUGGUCUGGUGGUGGAAAGAUUUAUCGGCUGGGGAUGGGCCCGCGGCCUAUCAGCUUGUUGGUGGGGUAGUGGCCUACCAAGGCGACGACGGGUAGCCGGCCUGAGAGGGUGACCGGCCAAACUGGGACUGAGACACGGCCCAGACUCCUACGGGAGGCAGCAGUGGGGAAUAUUGCGCAAUGGGCGGAAGCCUGACGCAGCGACGCCGCGUGGGGGAUGACGGCCUUCGGGUUGUAAACCUCUUUCAGCAGGGACGAAGCGAAAGUGACGGUACCUGCAGAAGAAGCACCGGCCAACUACGUGCCAGCAGCCGCCGUAACAC
rnacentral:rRNA from 1 species